UGGGGAAUAUUGCACAAUGGGGGAAACCCUGAUGCAUCGACGCCGCGUGAGCGAAGAAGGCUUUCGAGUCGUAAAGCUCUGUCCUAUGAGAAGAUAAUGACGGUAUCAUAGGAGGAAGCCCUGGCUAAAUACGUGCCAGCAGCCGCGGUAAUACGUAUGGGGCGAGCGUUGUCCGGAAUUAUUGGGCGUAAAGGGUACGUAGGUGGUUUUUUAAGUCAGGUGUCAAAGCGUGGAGCUUAACUCCAUUAAGCACUUGAAACUGAAAGACUUGAGUGAAGGAGAGGAAGGUGGAAUUCCUAGUGUAGCGGUGAAAUGCGUAGAUAUUAGGAGGAAUACCGGUGGCGAAGGCGACUUUCUGGACUUUUACUGACGCUCAGGUACGAAAGCGUGGGGAGCAAACAGG
rnacentral:rRNA from 1 species